GGCUCAGAACGAACGCUGGCGGCGUGCCUAACACAUGCAAGUCGAGCGAGAAAGCCCGCAAGGGUGAGUAAAGCGGCGCACGGGUGCGUAACACGUGGGUAAUCUUCCUUGGAGCCCGGAAUAACUCCCCGAAAGGGGUGCUAAUGCCGGAUGAGACCACGGGAUCCCCGGAUCCUGAGGGAAAAGGCGGCCUCUGUACACAAGCUGUCACUCCAAGAUGAGCCCGCGGCCCAUCAGCUAGUUGGCGGGGUAAUGGCCCACCAAGGCUACGACGGGUAGCUGGUCUGAGAGGACGAUCAGCCACACUGGAACUGAGACACGGUCCAGACUCCUACGGGAGGCAGCAGUGGGGAAUCUUGCGCAAUGGGCGAAAGCCUGACGCAGCAACGCCGCGUGUGUGAUGAAGGUCUUCGGAUCGUAAAGCACUGUCGGGAGGGACGAAUAAGGCGGCGGCUAACAUCCGCAGCCGAUGACGGUACCUCCAAAGGAAGCACCGGCUAACUCUGUGCCAGCAACCGCGGUAAUACAGAGGGUGCUAGCGUUGUUCGGAAUUAUUGGGCGUAAAGCGCGUGUAGGCGGCCUUGCAAGUUGGGUGUGAAAGCCCUCGGCUUAACCGAGGAAGUGCGCCCAAAACUACAGGGCUUGAGUACCGGAGAGGGUGGCGGAAUUCCCGGUGUAGAGGUGAAAUUCGUAGAUAUCGGGAGGAACACCAGUGGCGAAGGCGGCCACCUGGACGGAUACUGACGCUGAGACGCGAAAGCGUGGGUAGCAAACAGGAUUAGAUACCCUGGUAGUCCACGCUGUAAACGAUGAGCGCUAGGUGUUGUGGGUGUUGACCCCCGCAGUGCCGCAGCUAACGCAUUAAGCGCUCCGCCUGGGAAGUACGGCCGCAGGCUUAAACU
rnacentral:rRNA from 1 species